AAGGUGCUUCCUAGAAAAACAAAAACAAAAAAUACACUUAAGAUAAGAUAACGGAAUGUCUAUAAAUUGUAAACUUUACGAAAACACAGUAACUAAUUUGGCCAAAUUUUUUUCUUAGUGACCAAAUUAAAUUUUGGUAUAAAUUGUAUUUAACCCUUUGUUUAUUGGAUGAAUUGAAUGGAGAGAACUCUUAUCUCUCAACGCAUAGACGUAAUGGAUUACGUCAGAAGGAUAGCUUGGAG
rnacentral:lncRNA from 1 species